rnacentral:lncRNA from 13 species
UCUCUUCAGCAGGGCAGUAAACUACAGACUGUGUGUAUGGAAUCUCUUCAGCAGGGCAGUAAACUACAGACUGUGUGUAUGGAAUCUCUUCAGCAGGGCAGUAAACUACAGACUGUGUGUAUGGAAUCUCUUCAGCAGGCCAGUAAACUACAGACUGUGUAUUUGUGUAUGGAUUCAUGCGUUCUUUUGUUUUCCUUUCUUGACACUGGGAAUAAAAUAGGGAGAAACAUGAUAUUUCCGGAGAUUGUAACAUUCAACAAGGCUCUCCGAGGCAUAUUGAUCCUUGGAAUCGGUGGGGAAACUGGACCUGGUUAAGAUGAAACGCAAGAGUGAACUUUAAAAGAGCUUUAAAAGAGCUCUCUGUCAUCCCUGUAUCACCACAUGUCAUGCGCGGUGUGUGCUUUUCCAGUCAUGGGAAAAUGGCAGUGUGAUGUGUGACGAGGUCCCGUGUCACUGGUUGUUCAUCGACUGUGACACAUUUCCUGCAGACCUUCCUGACUGGACUGGAGGUUUUACUUCUGGAGUGGAAGUGUGCAAUAUUUGUGCCAUAAUUCAAUGUAACGUGUUUUAAAUGCAAGGUACCCAUGAAAAGGAAGAAACCCCAGCACGCUCUUGAAAGCGCCCACAUACAAUGUAAUGGAUCUCACAGACACUCGACAGGUUGACAGAUUCACCAAAGCAUAUUGGCUAUGCUAUAAUUCAGCUAGACACUGUAAGCAAAAACAGGGUGUCAGAUUCCCCAAAACAUAUGGCUGCAUUUCAGCUAGACACUGCAAACAAAAACAUCUAAGAGUUAAAACACAGGAAGUACAAAACAGGAAGUACAAAACAACGUGUAAGGUAGACAAACCAUUGGCUUGCCAACCUGCUGAAGUGAAGAUAAUGUUUAGAAAUGUUGUGUGGAACAAUACUCAGUCUCACAGACAGAUGGCAGCAGAGAGUCAUACUUCUGAUUUUUACUGAGGAACAAUACUCAGUCUCACAGGCAGAUGGCAGCAGAGAGUCAUACUCCUGAUUUUCACUGAGGAACAAUACUCAGUCUCACAGGCAGAUGGCAGCAGAGAGUCAUACUCCUGAUUUUCACUGUGGAACAAUACUCAGUCCCACAGGCAGAUGGCAGCAGAGAGUCAUUCUCCUGAUUUUCACCGUGGAACAAUACUCAGUCCCACAGGCAGAUGGCAGCAGAGAGUCAUUCUCCUGAUUUUCACCGUGGAACAAUACUCAGUCUCACAGGCAGAUGGCAGCAGAGAGUCAUUCUCCUGAUUUUCACCGUGGAACAAUACUCAGUCUCACAGGCAGAUGGCAGCAGAGAGUCAUACUCCUGAUUUUCAUUGAAGAACAAUACUCAGUCUCACAGACAGAUGGCAGCAGAGAGUCAUAUUUCUGACUGAUUCUCACUGUGGAACAGAUUGGGGAGUGUAUUGUUGCUGCCCCCCAAAGUGACAGUACAACAAGGCCUUCGUUCACUUGGCGUGAAGAUAAAUGUUUAUAGCUGUUAUUUGUGCUUUAUUGAUUCUUAGCAUAUGUGUUGUGUUUCUGUCCUUUGUGUGUUGUGUUUUUGGGUCCAUUCUCUAAAUACAGUAUCUUCCUCGUGUAGACAUUUUGAGAGAGACUAAAAUCAUUCCUGUAACCUAGGCUACACAGGCUGCAUUUCACACAGACAGCACAAUUCUGAUUUACUUUUCACUAAAUGGUCUUUUGACCUAACCGAUCAGAAGAAUAUCCGAUGUGAAAAGAUCUGAUGUAACUGGUCAAAAGAUCAGAAUUGGGCAGCGUGUGUAAACGCAGCCAUAUAGUUCUAGCCUACGUCAGCGCCUGAAUUUUUAUUUUUAUUUUUUUAGAUAACUAUACCAGUGACGUCAGAGAUACAGGAACUCAACCUGCCGAUACGUGUAGGUCAAAGUGUAUUUUACAGCAUCAAGGUCUUUAAGAAUUCAUGUUCCUAAAAUGAAAGAUACCCUGAAGCGUACAAAACAUUAAGAACGCCUAAUAUUGAGUUGGAACGAGCAGGCGUUCUUAAUGUUUUGUACGCUCAGUGUCAACCCCGGUGAUUCUUGAAGAACAUAACUCUUAGAUGCUUCGUGUGCUUGGUUCAACUGUCGUAUCCCGUCAGCAUUCAAUAUAUCAGCUUGUUUUUACCAAUUUGUUUUGUAAACAAUGGACAUGUAAAUUAACGCUGUAUAGCCUUAAAAACAUUGCUAAAACUAUCAUCUUGAUAUUUUUCCCAACAGGUAAGUUGACUGAGAACACGUUCUCAUUUACAGCAGCGACCUGGGGAAUAGUUACAGGGAUGAAUGAGACAAUCGUAAGCUGGGGAU